rnacentral:rRNA from 1 species
UACAGAGGUCCCGAGCGUUGUUCGGAUUUACUGGGCGUAAAGCGCACGUAGGCGGAUCGAUCAGUCGGUGGUGAAAUCCUGGAGCUCAACUCCAGAACUGCCUUCGAUACUGAGAGUCUCGAGUCCGGGAGAGGUGAGUGGAACUGCGAGUGUAGAGGUGAAAUUCGUAGAUAUUCGGAAGAACACCAGUGGCGAAGGCGGCUCACUGGCCCGGUACUGACGCUGAGGUGCGAAAGCGUGGGGAGCAAACAGG